AACGAACGCUGGCGGCAGGCCUAACACAUGCAAGUCGAGCGAGAUCUUCGGGUCUAGCGGCGGACGGGUGAGUAACGCGUGGGAAUAUGCCUCUUGGUACGGAAUAGCCUCGGGAAACUGGGAGUAAUACCGUAUGUGCCCUUUGGGGGAAAGAUUUAUCGCCAAGAGAUUAGCCCGCGUUGGAUUAGGUAGUUGGUGGGGUAAUGGCCUACCAAGCCGACGAUCCAUAGCUGGUUUGUGAGGAUGAUCAGCCACACUGGGACUGAGACACGGCCCAGACUCCUACGGGAGGCAGCAGUGGGGAAUCUUAGACAAUGGGGGCAACCCUGAUCGAGCCAUGCCGCGUGAGUGAUGAAGGCCUUAGGGUUGUAAAGCUCUUUCAGCUGGGAAGAUAAUGACGGUACCAGCAGAAGAAGCCCCGGCUAACUCCGUG
rnacentral:rRNA from 1 species